rnacentral:tRNA from 1 species
GCCUGGCUGGCUCAGUUGGCAGAGCAUGCGACUCUUGAUCUCAGGGUCAUGAGUUCAAGCCCCACGUAUGGCG